UGCAACAAGCACAGCGCCUCCAUCUGUGGUCACUCUGAGUUUGUCACCGUGAUAAGCUGCUAAGAUAAGCAUGAAUUCCUCAGCAAGUAACAAAACAGCAGAAUCAAGUUCACGUGGGCGGGAAAGUCAUCCUCAUUCCGGAUCAUGUUGAUACACGCGUGUGGGCGGAAGUCAAGGGUCAGCGUGCACACAAUCCUGGCUGCACCCAUGGGAGGUCUGCCCAUCAUCGGCCACGGCUGUUGCGCUGGAUCGAAAGUUUGAGCGUUCCAGGUUGAAGCCCUACCCCCUCCAGGACCCCAGGAUGUGACCGUAUUUGAAUAUAGGACCUUUGAAGAGAUGAUUAAGGUACAAUGUCAUUAAGGGGCUUUAGUCUAAUACGACUGGAGUCCUUAUAAGGAGAGGACAUCAGGACAGAGACACACACAGAGGGACGACCCCGUGAGGACCUGGGGAGGAGAUGGCCGUCUGCACGCCCAGGAGAGACCUCGAGAGGGACCGGCCCUGCCAUGCCUGGAUCUUGGACCUCCAGCCCCGGGGGUGGGGGGUGAGAGGGGUGGAAUAAAUCUCUUUUGUUUUCAGA